rnacentral:rRNA from 1 species
UAGGGAAUCUUCGGCAAUGGACGAAAGUCUGACCGAGCAACGCCGCGUGAGUGAAGAAGGUUUUCGGAUCGUAAAACUCUGUUGUUAGAGAAGAACAAGGACGUUAGUAACUGAACGUCCCCUGACGGUAUCUAACCAGAAAGCCACGGCUAACUACGUGCCAGCAGCCGCGGUAAUACGUAGGUGGCAAGCGUUGUCCGGAUUUAUUGGGCGUAAAGCGAGCGCAGGCGGUUUCUUAAGUCUGAUGUGAAAGCCCCCGGCUCAACCGGGGAGGGUCAUUGGAAACUGUGAGACUUGAGUGCAGAAGAGGAGAGUGGAAUUCCAUGUGUAGCGGUGAAAUGCGUAGAUAUAUGGAGGAACACCAGUGGCGAAGGCGGCUCUCUGGUCUGUAACUGACGCUGAGGCUGGAAAGCGUGGGAAGCAAACAGG